rnacentral:rRNA from 1 species
GGAGGGGGCGAGCGUUAUUCGGAAUUAUUGGGCGUAAAGGGCGCGUAGGCGGUUCGAUAAGUCAAAGGUGAAAUCCCUCGGCUCAACUGAGGAACUGCCUUUGAAACUGUCGAGCUUGAGUCCGGGAGGGGGUAGCGGAAUUCCCAGUGUAGCGGUGAAAUGCGUAGAUAUUGGGAGGAACACCGGUGGCGAAGGCGGCUACCUGGACCGGAACUGACGCUGAUGCGCGAAAGCGUGGGUAGCAAACAGGAUUAGAUACCCUGGUAGUCCACGCUGUAAACGAUGGGUGCUCGGUGUCGCGGGUAUCGACCCCUGCGGUGCCUUAGCUAACGCGUUAAGCACCCCGCCUGGGGAGUACGGUCGCAAGGCUGAA